rnacentral:ncRNA from 1 species
GAAAAAGCAAUGAUUAAGAAGAGUAGCUGUAAUACGAUCCUUUAGCGAGCCGGAGAUGGUGGAAGUUCGGUGCUUAGUACACAGUGAAUGGGCUUAUGAGUGCUGGCUGAAAUUGUAGUAGGCUAAGACGGUGUUCCUCCGUUAUAGGGAAUGUUGAAGGAUCAACAGUAAGUAGAAUGCUUUGCAUUAACUAGAGUGGUACCGCGGAGAAUAACUCUUCGUCUCUAAA